GGCGAUAAACGUAAAGUCGAGGUCUAAUAAACGUAAAGUCGAGGUGAUAAACGUAAAGUCGAGGUGAUAAACGUAAAGUCGAGGUGAUAAACGUAAAGUCGAGGCGAUAAACGUAAAGUCGAGGUCUGAUAAACGUAAAGUCGAGGCGAUAAACGUAAAGUCGAGGUGAUAAACGUAAAGUCCAGGUGAUAAACGUAAAGUCCAGGUGAUAAACGUAAAGUCGAGGUGAUAAACGUAAAGUCGAGGUCUAAUAAACGUAAAGUCGAGGUGAUAAACGUAAAGUCCAGGUGAUAAACGUAAAGUCCAGGUGAUAAACGUAAAGUCCAGGUGAUAAACGUAAAGUCGAGGUGAUAAACGUAAAGUCGAGGUCUAAUAAACGUAAAGUCGAGGUGAUAAACGUAAAGUCG
ensembl:lncRNA